GAUGAACGCUGGCGGCGUGCCUAAUACAUGCAAGUCGAGCGAACGGACGAGAAGCUUGCUUCUCUGAUGUUAGCGGCGGACGGGUGAGUAACACGUGGAUAACCUACCUAUAAGACUGGGAUAACUUCGGGAAACCGGAGCUAAUACCGGAUGAUAUUUUGAACCGCAUGGGUCAAAAGUGAAAGACGGUCUUGCUGUCACUUAUAGAUGGAUCCGCGCUGCAUUAGCUAGUUGGUAAGGUAACGGCUUACCAAGGCAACGAUGCAUAGCCGACCUGAGAGGGUGAUCGGCCACCCUGGAACUGAGCCACGGUCCAGACUCCUACGGGAGGCAGCAGUAGGGAAUCUUCCGCAAUGGGCGAAAGCCUGACGGAGCAACGCCGCGUGAGUGAUGAAGGUCUUCGGAUCGUAAAACUCUGUUAUUAGGGAAGAACAUAUGUGUAAGUAACUGUGCACAUCUUGACGGUACCUAAUCAGAAAGCCACGGCUAACUACGUG
rnacentral:rRNA from 1 species